UACGUAGAGGGCAAGCGUUGUCCGGAAUCAUUGGGCGUAAAGCGUACGUAGGCGGUCUAGUAAGUCAGAGGUGAAAUCCACCGGCUCAACCGGUGAACUGCCUUUGAUACUGUUAGACUUGAGGAUAAGAGAAGAAAGCGGAAUUCCUAGUGUAGCGGUGAAAUGCGUAGAUAUUAGGAAGAAUACCGAUGGCGAAAGCAGCUUUCUAACUUAUUCCUGACGCUCAGGUACGAAAGCUAGGGUAGCAAACGGGAUUAGAAACCCCAGUAGUCC
rnacentral:rRNA from 1 species